GGACAUUUGCUUAAACACAAGGGAAGGUGAAUCCCAACAAAAAAUAUUAAUUUCUAACCAUUUUCACAGGGUACACAAACCAACAAAGAUGUCGACGGGAACCACCGUUGGUUGAUUCAAUUCAUUGGAAGUUUUCGUAUAAAUAUAAUUUUUUGUGUUGUCAUAUCCCCCUUUGCAGCCUUUUAAGCCGUAUAAAUUUUCUAACUGUGUCGAGAACGACAAUUUUUUAACUAAAAAAGUUAAGAACCGAUUCUUAAAUAAGGACUUUAAGAACCGAAGAAGACAGCUAAAUCAGAGGAACUUUGACUAUUGAGUUAUACUCUUCCUUUCUCUUUAUCUUUUUUUCUUGUAUUAUUAAACCAACUAAAAUAUCUCUAGGGACAUUUGCUUAAACACAAGGGAAGGUGAAUCCCAACAAAAAAUAUUAAUUUCUAACCAUUUUCACAGGGUACACAAACCAACAAAGAUGUCGACGGGAACCACCGUUGGUUGAUUCAAUUCAUUGGAAGUUUUCGUAUAAAUAUAAUUUUUUGUGUUGUCAUAUCCCCCUUUGCAGCCUUUUAAGCCGUAUAAAUUUUCUAACUGUGUCGAGAACGACAAUAUACUAUGCUUUAGCAAUGGAGAAAGCUACCACAUGAAACAAAUUUCACUUCCGACUUUUACUGUUUUAUUACCCCGUUGUAAAAACAAAACAUAAAUUGUAUAUUCUUUUCUCC
rnacentral:lncRNA from 1 species